rnacentral:rRNA from 1 species
AUACGUAGGGGGCGAGCGUUGUCCGGAAUUACUGGGCGUAAAGGGUGCGUAGGCGGCCAUCUAAGUCUUGUGUGAAAGGCCCCGGCUUAACCGGGGAGCUGCAUGGGAAACUGGAUGGCUUGAGUGCUGGAGAGGGUUGCGGAAUUCCCAGUGUAGCGGUGAAAUGCGUAGAUAUUGGGAGGAACACCAGUGGCGAAGGCGGCAACCUGGACAGUAACUGACGCUGAGGCACGACAGCUGGGGGAGCAAACAGGAUUAGAUACCCUGGUAGUCCCAGCCGUAAACGAUGAGUGCUAGGUGUUGCGGGUAUCGACCCCUGCAGUGCCGCAGUUAACGCAAUAAGCACUCCGCCUGGGGAGUACGGCCGCAAGGCUGAA